rnacentral:tmRNA from 1 species
GGGGCUGACAUGGAUUUGACAGCAAGCCGAGGUGGUACGUAAGCAUGCAGAGCGUUGAUGGCUGGCUCUUAAAACUCGGCUCUCACAGAAUUAUCUGGCAACAACACUUACGCUCUCGCAGCCUAAACCGAAGUACAGUAGGUUUGCUUUAUCUCUUCACCAGGUGAGGAGACGAGACAUCGCCCUGAAAGCCACGUCCUGAGGCGGUCAGACCAGCGGUGCAGGAAAUUCAGGAAUAGUCAGCGUUGGCUCCGCAACGCCGAUGAAGUUCAAGGAGAUAAGGCAGCAGUGGAUGGUCCGGGUUCUGGCUGCUGCACGAAAAACGAAGGCCGGAAUAAGCAUGUAGAAAGCGUAUGGCUUCCUUGUUUGGACGAGGGUUCAAUCCCCUCCAGCUCCACA